AUAUCUAAUUCCUGCUUUCCUGCCUUGCAGCACCCUAUGAAGGUGGAGUGUGGAAAGUUCGAGUCGACCUUCCUGACAAAUACCCCUUCAAGUCCCCGUCUAUAGGAUUCAUGAAUAAAAUCUUCCAUCCCAACAUUGACGAAGCGUCAGGAACUGUCUGUCUAGAUGUAAUCAAUCAAACCUGGACAGCUCUCUA